rnacentral:rRNA from 1 species
AUGACUCAGGAACCUUUGUAUCCCGAGGGACACCCUAAGAGAGUCGUGCAAGAUUCUCAGAGAACUAAUGUUGACGCACCUACUCCUUCUAAGAAGAAAAAGAAAAAUGAUAGGACUUCGCAUGCUUCUAGUGAACCUGUUGUUGACACAUCUGAGAAUCCCAAUGAUAUUUCUAUUUCUGAUGCUGAAACACAAUCUGGUAAUGAACAUGAACUUAGUGAUAAUGUUAAUGAUGAUGUUCAUGUUGAUGCUCAACCUAGCAAUAACAAUGAUGUAGAUAUUGAACCUGCUGUUGAUAUUGAUAACCCACAAUCAAAGAAUCAACGUUAUGAUAAGAAAGACUUUGUUGCUAGGAAGCACGGUAAAGAAAGAGAACCAUGGGUUCAGAAACCCAUGCCUUUCCUCCCAAACCAUCCAAGAAAAAGGAUGAUGAGGAUUUUGAGCGCUUUGCUAAAAUGA